rnacentral:rRNA from 1 species
GAUGAACGCUGGCGGCGUGCUUAACACAUGCAAGUCGAACGAUUAAACUGGCUUCGGCCAGAUAUAGAGUGGCGAACGGGUGAGUAACACGUGACCAACCUGCCCCGCGCUCCGGGACAACCGCUGGAAACGGCGGCCAAUACCGGAUGCUCCGGGGAGGCCCCAUGGCCUCCCCGGGAAAGCCUUAACGGCGCGGGAUGGGGUCGCGGCCCAUUAGGUAGACGGCGGGGUAACGGCCCACCGUGCCCGCGAUGGGUAGCCGGACUGAGAGGUCGACCGGCCACAUUGGGACUGAGAUACGGCCCAGACUCCUACGGGAGGCAGCAGUGGGGAAUUUUGCGCAAUGGGGGCAACCCUGACGCAGCAACGCCGCGUGCGGGACGAAGGCCUUCGGGUUGUAGACCGCUUUCAGCAGGGAAGACU